rnacentral:rRNA from 1 species
GAUGAACGCUGGCGGCGUGCCUAAUACAUGCAAGUCGAGCGAACGGACGAGAAGCUUGCUUUUCUGAUGUUAGCGGCGGACGGGUGAGUAACACGUGGAUAACCUACCUAUAAGACUGGGAUAACUUCGGGAAACCGGAGCUAAUACCGGAUAAUAUAUUGAACCGCAUGGUUCAAUAGUGAAAGACGGUUUUGCUGUCACUUAUAGAUGGAUCCGCGCCGCAUUAGCUAGUUGGUAAGGUAACGGCUUACCAAGGCAACGAUGCGUAGCCGACCUGAGAGGGUGAUCGGCCACACUGGAACUGAGACACGGUCCAGACUCCUACGGGAGGCAGCAGUAGGGAAUCUUCCGCAAUGGGCGAAAGCCUGACGGAGCAACGCCGCGUGAGUGAUGAAGGUCUUCGGAUCGUAAAACUCUGUUAUUAGGGAAGAACAAAUGUGUAAGUAACUAUGCACGUCUUGACGGUACCUAAUCAGAAAGCCACGGCUAACUACGUG